rnacentral:rRNA from 1 species
UACGUAGGGUGCAAGCGUUGCCCGGAUUUAUUGGGCGUAAAGGGCGCGUAGGCGGCUCUGCACGUUCGUUGUGAAAUCGCCCGGCUCAACUGGGCGGGGUCAGCGGAUACGGCAGAGCUUGAGCAAGCUAGGGGGCAAUGGAAUUCCCGGUGUAGUGGUGGAAUGCGUAGAUAUCGGGAGGAACACCAGUGGCGAAGGCGGGUCUCUGGGCCGAUACUGACGCUGAGGUGCGAAAGCGUGGGGAGCAAACAGG